GCCGUGAACUACUGGGCUCAGACUAUCCUUCACCUCAGCCUUCUAAGCAACUGGGACUGCAGCUUGAAAAUGCUAAGCCAGAGAGAUCAAAAUGGCACGGGACGCUGUGUGGGAUGCUGUUCUCUUGUUGGGACACGAUAUUACCUGCAUGAGGAUAAAUUGAUGGAAAGCGAGGGAUGAAGACGUCAAUGGAUACCACUAGGAUUACAAACAGGUGUUACAGCAGAUUCCAGGCAAAGGUUUAUCUCAGUCCAAAUGGACCACACCUUUCUCUGUGCGGAUGAGACGCACUUGGCACCAGGACCCUACAGCUCACGGGGACGACACACUGGCCGUGAAUCUCUGCUUGUGAGCCAGAAGGGCCCUUCAGCCUGCGCUGCUACCCUGCUCCGCUCUCGGCUCCUGGGGUCCGGAGCUCAAGAAGCCUCCUCAAGGUGGCAGCCACCACUUGCUCCAUGGUUUUGGGAGCUGAGCGUAGCGUCUUCAUGGUUGACAUCUUCCAGGGACUCUAGAAGCAGAUUCCUGACUACCAGGAAAUGUAUUCUUUCCUCUUCAUGGGACACACUGCUUUUGUGUCUGUGGUCUGCAUACGGGGGGCAGCACACUGGGGGACUGUACGGAAAGAACAGUCCCUCUGUCUGCGAAGGACUCCUCAUUUAUACUAACAUAAAUGCCAUAUUUACGGUGACAUUUUCCAUGGUAGUGGGGAUGAUCAGCUCUGAGAUGUCACAUUUGCCAUUUUUCAGAAAGAAGAGCGUAACGUUAACAGUUCAAACACCUACACAGUUAAUAAGAGUUAGCUUCGAAUUAGGCUAAACUCUGAAAAUAAGUUGUUUCUAUUUUCAUGUUGACUAUGUAAAAUCCAUCUGGAGUAAAAUUAACAAUGGACAUAUAUAGCUUCUUUCUCUGUUUCAUAGUUCUCUUUUGGGUUAAAUGAAUUACAGUGCAUUUUUUCCCCCUAUCUAAACCAAGAGAUGUAAGAGAAUGGGGUCAAUGUGGUUAAUCUUAUCUAACUUACUUUCUAUGUAUGGGCUCCUUGUCAAAUUACAACCAUGUUAGAAUGAGAUGUUAUUCAUAAUGGUUAUGUUUGGAAGUUAUUGCUGUGAAAUUUAUUAAGAAUGGGUGGAAGCUGGGGCAGGUGGGAUAUGUAAGUGAGGGCAAAGCCAUCCUUAGGGAACCAAAUCUGGCCUUUUUAUGGCAUAACAUUGUCAACAGAAUUCACUUAGUUGCUGCUGGGCUUGAACUUGAGUACUAAUGGUUACUAUUUCUACAGCACCGAGAACUCGGGAGACACCGGGACUUCUCAGCCACUGGAUCAUUUUAAGCAGGAGCUCACUUGCUCUUUGGCAUGCAGGCUGUUUCUUGAACUGCCUCAGGAGACAGCCCUACUUGAGUAGCUGCUGUUAUUCUCACCACGAUCUGCCUCACACCGGGCUCUCAUUCGCUACCCUUAUGUAAAGACCAAAAAUACAGGAUUCUCUUGUUCUUAAGGCUUAGGAAAAUCUAAAAACGAUCAUUUUGGAAAGAAUUCUAACUCAUGAAUAUUCCUUUAAUUUUAGUUGUAUUGAUGGUGAAUGUGUGCUUUUGAAUUUUAGAUGCUGUUAUGGUUUGUGUCU